UACGGGGGGAGCAAGCGUUGUUCGGAUUUACUGGGCGUAAAGGGCGCGUGGGCGGCGCAACAAGUCACUUGUGAAAUCUCCGGGCUUAACUCGGAGCGGCCAAGUGAUACUGUCGUGCUAGAGUGCGGAAGGGGCUACUGGAAUUCUCGGUGUAGCGGUGAAAUGCGUAGAUAUCGAGAGGAACACCUGCGGCGAAGGCGGGUAGCUGGGCCGACACUGACGCUGAGGCGCGAAAGCUAGGGGAGCGAACGGG
rnacentral:rRNA from 1 species